ensembl:lncRNA
CGAGACCUAACAGUGUUGUGGAGCCCAGUUCUUUGCUUUAAUGAAAGACUGCCUUGUACAGGAUGUCACCACUGGAGAAAGACAGGUUUUUCUUCAGCUUCCCACCGCUGCCUUUGUGGCUCACCCUCUGCCUGUCUGAGAGAUCAGGAUGGAAAUGCCAGUUAGAGCCCGGAGUGCUGACCACCGCCCUCCCCUUCCUCCCAUCUCAGAAGCACCCAGCUGGCCCUGGGGCAUCAACUCAGCCACCCUGCUUUUCAAGCCAAGUAUGAGGGCCUGCAGUUUAAUUGGCAUCAUUUCAUGAUACUUUGCAGCUCGACUUCUGCAGAAUCUGACAGCAGACAGUACCUGUGGGCGUCAAUGGCCAGGGAACAUGUACAGGAGAAGGGAGAUGUCUACGGAGCUCCAAGGAGCAGGAGAUAGAUGCUCGAGGACUUGCAUCACCCUGUAACCAGCAAGACUUUUUCUCUACUUCAGAUAAAAAUGACUUUCUCCUUGACCUCACAGAUGUGCAGCAUGUCUGAUAAGACACCAGCCCAGAGGACGAGCAAAUACAACAGUGCUCUGCAUAUAAAGCUUAAUAAAGAGCUAUGCUUCCCCUAUUUUCUUCUUUUUCCUCCUCCAAGAACCCUUCUAGUACCUCAGGUGCCGUUCUACCCACACGUCCGGUCCCCAGGCCAGCCAAGUCCUUGGUGCAUUUUGUCCCCAUUGCCCUUUAUACUAGGUGCGUCAUUUGGGUGUGCCCCAGUGGCUGUGGGAAACUGAGUCAAUUUCUGGAUGCCAGCCUGGAGACCAUAGAGGACACCCAAGGAAGCUACAUCCACUCCAGAGAGGCCUGGGGUUCUGAGGUCACUAGGUGAAGCUCCUUGAGCCCUGCUCUGGGUUGAGCGGGUGUCUGGGGUGUGGUCUGGGAAGCUCCAGAUUUCGGGAGCACAGAAGUGGGAGCACAGGGCACUGGAGUGGGAAAUUGAGGCCCAGCUCCAUGAGGGAGUCUUUGGAAACCACAUAGGGUUUCUCCUCAGGGUUGGCCCUCUGAAGACAAGAGGGCUGGGCACUGUGACUGCACCAGGGUUAGCACUGACUGCACGCGUCACACGUGCUCCAGUGUCAGCCAUGCAGGCUCCCACAGCCAGAGAAGGCCGUCGGGUGGGCAAUCCUGGGCACCUGCUGAGCAGUGGUGAAAGCCAAAAGAAGAGGGGCGCCUGCUGCAAACAUCCUACUCCACAGCCUAACUGUGCCUUUUAUCAGG